rnacentral:rRNA from 1 species
GACGAACGCUGGCGGCGUGGAUUAGGCAUGCAAGUCGAACGGUAUCAUCCUUUCGGGGGUGAGAGAGUGGCGAACUGGUGAGUAACACGUAGGUUAUCUACCCUCAAGACGGGGACAACCCAGGGAAACUUGGGCUAAUACCGGAUGUGAGCAACUUUUAGUUGUUUGAAAGGUGGCGUAAGCUGUCGCUUGGGGAUGAGCCUGCGUCCUAUUAGUUAGUUGGUGAGGUAACGGCUCACCUAGGCAAUGAUAGGUAGGCGGCCUUAACGGGUGGUCGCCCACACUGGGAUUGAGAUACGGCCCAGACUCCUACGGGAGGCAGCAGUCGAGAAUAGUCUACAAUGGUCGGAAGACUGAUAGUGCGACGCCGCGUGAACGAUGAAUCCCUUCGGGGUGUAAAGUUCUUUUAUAUGUGAGCAGUGCUUCUUAUAUUAACAGUAUGGGGAGAGAGAUAUUAGCAUAUGAAUAAGCAACGGCUAACUCCGUGCCAGCAGCCGCGGUAAAUAC